AAAGUUUUGUAAUUAGAAGUGAGCAACAGAACAAGAUGAAGUUCACUCUAUUUACUGUCAUUUUUUUCUCAAUAGGGUGGAUAUGUGUUGUGAAAGAAGAUGAUGGACGUCCAGUAGACUGCUGUACUACUGUGUCAACCAUCAAAAUAGAUCCUAAAAACAUUGUGGAAUAUUGUAUACAAGAAUCAGUGCUAUGUCCUGUCAGAGCUGUAAGAUUCCAGACCAAGAAAAACAAAGUUAUUUGUUCAGUUCCAGAUAGCACAUAUGCUAAGAAUGUAAUGAGGAUAGUGAAUAGGAGAAAAACAACAACAAAACCUUCCCAAAAACCUACAAUGUGCACUAUAAAAAUCAUGAACCCACCUGUAACUACAAAAAAAAAAAACACCGGGAA